rnacentral:lncRNA from 1 species
GUGCCUAACCAAGGGCGCGGGCCAGAAGGAGAAGCGAAAGAAGAAUCGGGCUCCUGCUGAACCCAGCAGGCCCCUAACUGAUAAACGGGUCUCUCCCCGACGACGGAGUCUGAGAUCGCCUCGAUGGCAGAGUCUGAGACUGACGCAUCGCAGGUAUGACUCCUACACUCCUCUCUCUGCUCCUCGUGUGCAAAUCCUGA